CUCCACAGGCGGGCGUUAAACCGCGCGGGCAGCGCUGCGAGAGCUCCCAAAGAUGACUCGAGUGGUGAGCCCCGAGGCGGCGCGUUUCCCCGCCGCGCCAGACAGGGAGAGAGGGCCUAGAUGUGCCGGCGCCGGUUGGUCAGAGGCGGUGGCCUCUGACCUUUCCGAGAGCUGAGAAGGCGGCGGGAGGAAAAAAGGCAGACACACGCUGGGCGCCCGGCCGCUGACGGCGGGUAAUGCUCGGACAACGUGCCGGCGACGGGGAGCGCCCGGGCCUCCCGGGCGACGGCGAAGGCGGAGUCCCGGCCCGGCCAGGGAGGCGCGCGGAGAGGCCCCCCCAGCGGCCAGCCAAGGUAAACAAGGCCGUGACGUGCGCCGCGCACUUACCGGGAGCUGCGGCCUCGCGGCCGCUGAGCCCGAACAAGCCAGACCGGGUCAGGCCGGGCCAGAGGGACCGGAUUGGGGCGAAGCGGCAGCGGAGGCGGCGGGCCGACGCCGGUCAAGCCCGCGCUGCUUCCUCCAGAAGAGUCGUCCCCACAGCUCCGGAAGUGCUUGGCGCCGUUGCGUCACUUCCGGAUCGGGGUCGACCCACGGUCGCUCGGGUCGCGACAGGCUCCCGGCUAGAGGGCCUGUUUAGCGCCGCCUCCUUGAAACUUAGCGCUCUGACCCAGAGUCUGACCAGGGUACGGCAGGCGCCGACCGCGUCUGGAGCCACUAUUCGCCUACCAGCGUCUCCCGUCGAGAUGUUUUUAACCAGCGCGUUUCUCACCGGCUUCUCAUUUCACUGUUUGUACUCCGGGAUCGGGCACGGAGAAGACAUCCUGGCGUCAGUGGAGCAGAUAACCAUUGUUUCUCGGCCGCUAUCUGGUCAGAGGGGAGCUGGGCCGGGAAAUUCUGCCUACACCCCGAGGCGGUCGCAGGGUGGCCCCAGAGCCGCAACCACACCAGGCUUUCGCUUCCCCUGCCGAGGCCUCGUUCGCCGCGCAGUUCUCCGACUUACGGUCACCGUGCAAGAUUGCAUCUUAACUGCCUUGCUUGCAGUUUCUUUUCACAGUAUAGGAGUUGUCAUCAUGACUUCCAGUUACCUUCUGGGACCGGUUGUCAAAUGAUGUGGCUAGAGACGGAGGCUCACUCAGAUUGUUGCUGCACCACAAUGGAAAUGCCAGUAUGAAGCCGCUGAUGUUAGGAAGGCUCCAGGUUGUGCAAUUCCAUAGACAACAAAUCAAAUCAUUUCCAACCAUACUGGAGUCGCGUAUAUACAUAUUCAAGACACCUGUGCAGGCCGGGCGCGGUGGCUCAAGCCUGUAAUCCCAGCACUUUGGGAGGCCGAGGCGAGUGGAUCACGAGGUCAGGAGAUCGAGACCAUCCUGGCUAACACGGUGAAACCCCGUCUGUACUAAAAGUACAAAAAAAUUAGCCGGACGUGGUGGCGGGCGCCUGUAGUCCCAGCUACUCGGGAGGCUGAGGCAGGAGAAUGGCGUGAACCCGGGAGGCGGAGCUUGCAGUGAGUCGAGAUGGCGCCACUGCACUCCAGCCUGGGCGACAGAGCGAGACUCUGUCUCAAAAUAAAAUAAAAUAAAAUAAAAAAUAAAACAAAU
rnacentral:lncRNA from 1 species